rnacentral:lncRNA from 1 species
GUAACUAUCUUACAGACAGAGCAAGAAAAGUAAAUUCACUUGGCUGUUCCAUAUCUCUGAGGAACCUGAUGCAUGAGUGGACUAGAGAAGAGAAAGACAGAAAAACUCCAAAGACCUACAGAUCAUCUGGCUGGCAGGUGAAUCUGGAUAAUUUUUUUUUGAAAUAUCAUUUUCUGCCUGACUCAGCAGUUGCCUCUAUGAUAAAUCUGAGGGCCAGGAGAGGGGACAGGCUCUUUAUCUGGAAAAAAUUUAAUGAGGUAUGUGUUUCUUUCAGCUCUUAGUGGGAAUAAAACUCUCUUUGUAA